UCGAGAACAAGUCAUUCUUUCGUUCGUUAUCUGGCUCGGCUCGGUGUUCAUCUUCAGUUCUCUCUUCACAGCAGUUCAGUCAGUGUACUGUUUGAGUAAAUUAAUUACUCCGGGAUAUUGGUUUGUUUUAACGCAGAGGGAGUGUCAGCCACAUUAAACAAGUUAACAGCUUAAUUCAUCUGUGGAUUAAUGCUUAUUGGAGACGUAAACCGUUUUAAACGAUUCAGUUCGAUUUGGUGAACUAGUUCAAGAAGAUCCGGUUACAUCGAAUGAUUCGUUCCUGAAUCGGAUAUCACUACACUACUGUGUUUUGAAUACUCUCACAACAGACACGGAAGAGAAAACAAUGCUGAAUGAAGUCGUAGUUUCUGCUAUUUUUGGACCAAAAUGUAUUUUCGUUGCUUCAAAAAAUUCUAACUGACCCUCUAAUGUCACAUGGACUACUUUGAAGAUGUUUUUCUUACCUUUCUGGACAUGGACAGUAUACCGUACACACAGCUUCAAUGGAGGGACUGAGAGCUCUCGGACUAAAUCUAAAAUAACUUCAACUGUGUCCCGAAGAUAAACGGAGGUCUUGUGGGUUUGGAAUGAAAUGAGGGUGAAGGAGAGCUCAGUUCGGUGUUGCUGUCUGUGAGACGUGGCUCUCUGCAUGCGCAGUUGACACGACGCACGAGUACUCAGUGAAAAAAGAAAAGAAAAAAGAAAGUCAUGCAGACUGUUUUAACCAAAACAACCUGCAUUGUAUUUAAGGUAUAAGGUAUCAACGGUUCAAUGGUUUGUUUGUACAUGUACAUACAACUUCACCGCCUUGUUUUUGAUC